rnacentral:rRNA from 1 species
UGCCAGCAGCCGCGGUAAUACGGAGGGAGCGAGCGUUAAUCGGAAUUACUGGGCGUAAAGCGCGCGUAGGCGGCUUUGUAAGUCGGAUGUGAAAGCCCUGGGCUCAACCUGGGAAUGGCAUUCGAUACUGCAGAGCUAGAGUAUGGUAGAGGGAAGUGGAAUUUCCGGUGUAGCGGUGAAAUGCGUAGAUAUCGGAAGGAACACCGGUGGCGAAGGCGACUUCCUGGGCCAAUACUGACGCUGAGGCGCGAAAGCGUGGGUAGCAAACAGGAUUAGAUA